CGUCACACUAUCAUUAACUGAAUCCAUAGGUUAAUGAGGCGAACCGGGGGAACUGAAACAUCUAAGUACCCCGAGGAAAAGAAAUCAACCGAGAUUCCCCCAGUAGCGGCGAGCGAACGGGGAGGAGCCCAGAGCCUGAAUCAGCAUGUGUGUUAGUGGAAGCGUCUGGAAAGGCGCGCGAUACAGGGUGACAGCCCCGUACACAAAAGCGCAUGUGCUGUGAGCUCGAUGAGUAGGGCGGGACACGUGGUAUCCUGUCUGAAUAUGGGGGGACCAUCCUCCAAGGCUAAAUACUCCUGACUGACCGAUAGUGAACCAGUACCGUGAGGGAAAGGCGAAAAGAACCCCGGCGAGGGGAGUGAAAAAGAACCUGAAACCGUGUACGUACAAGCAGUGGGAG
rnacentral:rRNA from 2 species